AUUGAACGCUGGCGGCAGGCUUAACACAUGCAAGUCGAACGAGUGGCGGACGGGUGAGUAAUGCUUGGGAAUCUAGCUUAUGGAGGGGGAUAACUACGGGAAACUGUAGCUAAUACCGCGUACCAUAGGAUGAGCCCAAGUGGGAUUCGGUAGUUGGUGAGGUAACGGCUCACCAAGUCGACGAUCUCUAGCUGGUCUGAGAGGAUGACCAGCCACACUGUGACUGGGACACGACCCAGAUGCCGUCGGGAGGCAGCAGGGGGGAAGAUUGCGCAAUGGGGGAAACCUGACGCAGCCGUGCCGCGUGAAUGAAGAAGGCCUUCGGGUUGUAAAGUUCUUUCGGUAGCGAUGCGUUAGCUGCAGAAGAAGCACCGGCUAACUCCGUGCCAGCAGCCGCGGUAAUUC
rnacentral:rRNA from 1 species